UGAUGGUGAUGAGGAUAACUUUUUAGCAUUCCCUUGAAUCUCUCCCAAGCUUGGUAGAGAUUUUCUCUAUCUUUCUGUCUGAAAACUCAAUAUCUCACUCCUCAAUAG